rnacentral:rRNA from 1 species
GUGAAGCGGAGAAUUUAAGCCCCAGUAAACGGCGGUGGUAACUAUAACCAUCCUAAGGUAGCGAAAUUCCUUGUCGGGUAAGUUCCGACCUGCACGAAUGGCAUAAUGAUGGCGGCGCUGUCUCCAGCAGAGGCUCAGUGAAAUCGAAAUCGCUGUGAAGAUGCAGUGUACCCGCGGCUAGACGGAAAGACCCCGUGAACCUUUACUAUAGCUUUGCACUGGACUUUGAAUUUGCUUGUGUAGGA